rnacentral:rRNA from 1 species
GACGAACGCUGGCGGCGUGCUUAACACAUGCAAGUCGAACGGAAAGGCCCUGCUUUUGUGGGGUGCUCGAGUGGCGAACGGGUGAGUAACACGUGAGUAACCUGCCCUUGACUUUGGGAUAACUUCAGGAAACUGGGGCUAAUACCGGAUAGGAGCUCCUGCUGCAUGGUGGGGGUUGGAAAGUUUCGGCGGUUGGGGAUGGACUCGCGGCUUAUCAGCUUGUUGGUGGGGUAGUGGCUUACCAAGGCUUUGACGGGUAGCCGGCCUGAGAGGGUGACCGGCCACAUUGGGACUGAGAUACGGCCCAGACUCCUACGGGAGGCAGCAGUGGGGAAUAUUGCACAAUGGGCGGAAGCCUGAUGCAGCAACGCCGCGUACGGGAUGACGGCCUUCGGGUGGUAAACCGCUUUCGCCUGUGACGAAGCGUGAGUGACGGUAAUGGGUAAAGAAGCACCGGCUAACUACGUG